rnacentral:rRNA from 1 species
UACGUAGGGUGCAAGCGUUAAUCGGAAUUACUGGGCGUAAAGCGUGCGCAGGCGGUUUUGUAAGUCUGUCGUGAAAUCCCCGGGCUCAACCUGGGAACUGCAUCUGUGACUGUAUAGCUAGAGUACGGUAGAGGGGGAUGGAAUUCCGCGUGUAGGCAGUGAAAUGCGUAGAUAUCGUAAGGAAGACCAGUGGCGAAGGCGGGUCUCUGGACAGUUCCUGACGCUGAGGCACGAAGGUCAGGGGAGCAAACGGG